UGGGGAAUAUUGCACAAUGGGGGAAACCCUGAUGCAGCGACGCCGCGUGAGUGAAGAAGUAUUUCGGUAUGUAAAGCUCUAUCAGCAGGGAAGAAGAUGACGGUACCUGACUAAGAAGCCCCGGCUAACUACGUGCCAGCAGCCGCGGUAAUACGUAGGGGGCAAGCGUUAUCCGGAUUUACUGGGUGUAAAGGGAGCGUAGACGGCGAAGCAAGUCCGAAGUGAAAACCCGGGGCUCAACCCCGGGACUGCUUUGGAAACUGUUUUGCUAGAGUGCUGGAGAGGUAAGUGGAAUUCCUAGUGUAGCGGUGAAAUGCGUAGAUAUUAGGAGGAACACCAGUGGCGAAGGCGGCUUACUGGACAGUAACUGACGUUGAGGCUCGAAAGCGUGGGGAGCAAACA
rnacentral:rRNA from 1 species